UCCAGACUCCUACGGGAGGCAGCAGUGAGGAAUAUUGGUCAAUGGGCGGGAGCCUGAACCAGCCAAGUCGCGUGAGGGACGACGGUCCUAUGGAUUGUAAACCUCUUUUGUCGGGGAACAAAGGCGCCCACGGGUGGGCGGAUGAGUGUACCCGAAGAAAAAGCAUCGGCUAACUCCGUGCCAGCAGCCGCGGUAAUACGGAGGAUGCGAGCGUUAUCCGGAUUUAUUGGGUUUAAAGGGUGCGUAGGCGGACAGUCAAGUCAGCGGUAAAAAUGCGGUGCUCAACGUGGGAACUGCCUUUGAAGCUGGCAAACUGGAGUGUGUGAGAGGAUAGUGGAAUUCCAGGUGUAGGAGUGAAAUCCGUAGAUAUCUGGAGGAACAUCAGUGGCGAAGGCGACUAUCUGGCACAUAACUGACGCUGAGGAGCGAAAGCGUGGGUAGCAAACAGGAUUAGAUACCCUAGUAGA
rnacentral:rRNA from 1 species